rnacentral:rRNA from 1 species
AGAGUUUGAUCCUGGCUCAGAACGAACGCUGGCGGCAGGCUUAACACAUGCAAGUCGAACGAGAAGCCGGAGCUUGCUCCGGUGGAAAGUGGCAGACGGGUGAGUAACGCGUGGGAAUUUACCCAGUGGUUCGGAAUAACGCAUGGAAACGUGUGCUAAUACCGGAUACGCCCUUCGGGGGAAAGAUUUAUCGCCAUUGGAUGAGCCCGCGUCGGAUUAGCUUGUUGGUGAGGUAAAAGCUCACCAAGGCGACGAUCCGUAGCUGGUCUGAGAGGAUGAUCAGCCACACUGGGACUGAGACACGGCCCAGACUCCUACGGGAGGCAGCAGUGGGGAAUAUUGCGCAAUGGAGGAAACUCUGACGCAGCCAUGCCGCGUGAGUGAAGAAGGCCUUAGGGUUGUAAAACUCUUUCGCUAGGGAAGAUAAUGACGGUACCUAGUAAAGAAGCCCCGGCCAACUCCGUGCCAGCAGCCGCGGUAAUACGGAGGGGGCUAGCGUUGUUCGGAUUUACUGGGCGUAAAGCGCGCGUAGGCGGGCUGGUUAGUUGGGGGUGAAAUCCCAGGGCUUAACCCUGGAACUGCCCUCAAUACUGCCAGUCUUGAGUUCGAGAGAGGUAAGUGGAAUUCCUAGUGUAGAGGUGAAAUUCGUAGAUAUUAGGAAGAACACCAGUGGCGAAGGCGGCUUACUGGCUCGAUACU